rnacentral:lncRNA from 1 species
CUGAUCAUCAGUGAGCCAAGCCUGGAAGCCUGAGCCAUCACCAGCUGGGUGGUAGCCAGCUGUGGCUCAGGGCCACUCUAGAAACACUUGCCUUGGGCUGCAGCUGCCCUGGGCUACUACCCUGAUCCCUAGGAAACGGGGCAUGGGGCAUUUUCCUGAACAGAGCCCUUGCCAAUGCCCAGCAAGAAACCAGUGUGGCACUGGGAUUGGAAAGCCUGGAGUGUGAAUAUGGACUCUGAUGUGCCAACUUACAGAAGAAGCAUAGGCAAGAUUCUUAGUCUCUACAUCAAGCUGAGUCCUUGAAGUGGUCGGAGGGACAAAACAGAAUUCCUGGAGACAGUGUCCUAAGGGAGUGCCAGAGGCACUCAUUUGUUUGACAACUAAUUUUGGAGGCAGGUGCUCUUCCUUGUCUUAGGAUCUUCCAGUCAACAAGGCUGAAAAUCUCCCUGCCUCCUGGAGCUUGCUUCUGUGGAAGAAGGCAGUCAGCAAACACAUGAACAAAGACAAGUUCAG